rnacentral:misc_RNA from 1 species
CUGCAAUAAAAAAAUCUUAAUUAAAAUUUCUUUUUUUAAAAAAUAAAAAUCUUCACUAGUAUGUUCCCUUAAAAGUGGUAUUUUCUCCAUUAUAAUUUUAAAUAUUCAUGAGUACAAUUAUACUAGAUCAUUUAAUUAAUAAAAAAAUAUCUUACACGUUAGUUCCCCUCAAUAUGCUGGUAAUGUGGUUAACAUUACCGGUAUUCGGCAAAAAAUUUGCAAGUGAAAAAUCGGCCACCUUUGGUUGAAAGUCAUCAUCAAGAAGAAUAUUAUCUGCUUU